GCUUCAGUGGUCUAGUGGUAUGAUUCUCGCUUUGGGUGCGAAGGCCACGGGUUCGAUUCCCGUCUGAGACC
rnacentral:tRNA from 1 species